UCAGGAUGAACGCUAGCGACAGGCUUAACACGUGCAAGUCGAGGGGCAGACAUAAAAGUAGCAAUACUUGGUGGCGACCGGCGCACGGGUGAGUAACGCGUAUGCAACCUACCUAUCAGAGGGGAAUAACCCGGCGAAAGUCGGACUAAUACCGCAUAAAACAGGGGCACCGCAUGGUGAUAUUUGUUAAAGAAAUUCGCUGAUAGAUGGGCAUGCGUUCCAUUAGGUAGUUGGUGAGGUAACGGCUCACCAAGCCGACGAUGGAUAGGGGAACUGAGAGGUUGGUCCCCCACACUGGUACUGAGACACGGACCAGACUCCUACGGGAGGCAGCAGUGAGGAAUAUUGGUCAAUGGGCGAGAGCCUGAACCAGCCAAGUCGCGUGAAGGAAGAAGGAUCUAUGGUUCGUAAACUUCUUUUGCAGGGGAAUAAAGUGCAGGACGUGUCCUGUUUUGUAUGUACCCUGAGAAUAAGGAUCGGCUAACUCCGUGCCAGCCGCUGC
rnacentral:rRNA from 1 species